rnacentral:tRNA from 4 species
GGGCCCAUAGCUCAGUUGGUUAGAGCACCUGACUCAUAAUCAGGUGGUCGCUGGUUCGAGCCCAGCUGGGCCCA